UUCGCAAUGCCCGAAAGGGUGACGAUGCGACGCCGCAUGAGCGAAGAAGGCCCUAGGGUUGUAAAGCUCUGUCGAGGGUUAUGAAAUAUAGAUGGGUUAAUACCCCAUUUAUUUGACAAAAGCCCAAAAGGAAGCCACGGCUAACUCUGUGCCGGCAGCCGCGGUAAUACAGAGGUGGCGAGCGUUGUUCGGUAUUAUUGGGCGUAAAGAGCACGUAGGUGGUUUUGUAAGUCAGGUGUGAAAGCCUUCUGUUCAAAGGAAGAACGGCAUCUGAAACUGCAGAUCUUGAGUGUAGGAGGGGAGAGUGGAACUUCUGGUGGAGCGGUGAAAUGCGUAGAUAUCAGAAGGAACGUCGGCGGCGAAAGCGACUCUCUGGCCUAUUACUGACACUGAGGUGCGAAAGUUAGGGGAGCAAACGGGAUUAGAUACCCCGGUAGUCCUAACCGUAAACGAUGGGCACUAAGUAGAGGGGUUUU
rnacentral:rRNA from 1 species